UACGUAGGGUGCAAGCGUUAAUCGGAAUUACUGGGCGUAAAGCGUGCGCAGGCGGUUCUCCAAGUCCGUUGUGAAAGCCCCGGGCUCAACCUGGGAAUGGCAGUGGAAACUAGGGGACUGGAAUCUGACAGAGGGGGGUGGAAUGCCGCGUGUAGCAGUGAAAUGCGUAGAGAUGCGGCGGAACACCGAUGGCGAAGGCAGCCCCCUGGGCUGAGAUUGACGCUCAGGCACGAAAGCGUGGGGAGCAAACAGG
rnacentral:rRNA from 1 species